rfam:Cricetulus griseus cell line CHO-K1, whole genome shotgun sequence.
GCGCGCCGGCACCUUGGCUCUAGACUGCUUACUGCCCGGGCCGCCCUCAGUAACAGUCUCCAGUCAC